GUGGGGAAUAUUGCACAAUGGGCGAAAGCCUGAUGCAGCAACGCCGCGUGAGUGAUGAAGGUCUUCGGAUUGUAAAGCUCUGUCUUUUGGGACGAUAAUGACGGUACCAAAGGAGGAAGCCACGGCUAACUACGUGCCAGCAGCCGCGGUAAUACGUAGGUGGCGAGCGUUGUCCGGAUUUACUGGGCGUAAAGGGUGCGUAGGCGGAUGUUUAAGUGAGAUGUGAAAUACCCGGGCUUAACUUGGGUGCUGCAUUUCAAACUGGAUAUCUAGAGUGCAGGAGAGGAGAAUGGAAUUCCUAGUGUAGCGGUGAAAUGCGUAGAGAUUAGGAAGAACACCAGUGGCGAAGGCGA
rnacentral:rRNA from 1 species